rnacentral:rRNA from 1 species
UACGUAGGGUGGCAAGCGUUGUCCGGAUUUACUGGGCGUAAAGGGCUCGUAGGUGGCCAACUAAGUCAGACGUGAAAUCCCUCGGCUUAACCGGGGAACUGCGUCUGAUACUGGAUGGCUUGAGUUCGGGAGAGGGAUGCGGAAUUCCAGGUGUAGCGGUGAAAUGCGUAGAUAUCUGGAGGAACACCGGUGGCGAAGGCGGCAUCCUGGACCGACACUGACACUGAGGAGCGAAAGCCAGGGGAGCAAACGGG